AACCACAGCCAGAGAAGAUUCAUAGACUCAGAAGAUUUAUGGCUGAUUCUGAGGAUUUUAGUCAAAGGGAAAUUUUUUACUUCAGAGAAUGGAUAUUUCGGUUACUUUGUUGGUGUGCAAGAGACAAAGACAAUAGAGAUGAUGAGUAGUAUAAAUGGGUAUGCUUUUAUAAACGUUUGGAGAAACUUCUGCUUUUCCAACAUCUUAUACUAUUAGGACCGUGUAGACUCUCAGGUCAAUCAAUUAAUGAUUUACGAAAGGGGUUUUGCUAUAAAUGUGAUUUAAUUGUGAAG